rnacentral:tRNA from 1 species
GGGGGCUGUGGCUCAGUGGUAGAACAUCUGCUCUGCGGGCAGAACGUUCCUGGUUCAGUCCCUGGCAUUUCCA